ACCUUUAAGGCUGAACAGGAUCCUGAAGUGAGGAGGACUCCUCUCUCAUUGAACUGCAUACAGCAGCAGAAAGCAGGAUUUCAGUUCCCCUUUGAUUCAGAAGAGGAACAACAAUGGAGGACCAAGGUCAUUAAUAUAAGAAGAGUCUAUUCCUGUCUGUGUUUUGCAGAAGAAAGUUAAGACUCAUGACCAGGAAUUCUAAGUGAGGAAGAGUCCCUUUCCCAUUCUGCUGCAGCCAUGAGGAGAAUACUCUAUUUUCAAGGAAUUUGACAAGGGAAGAGGACCAGUGCUGACCAAGUGAAGAAAAAGAAGAGUCUAUUGCCAAGCUUUGUACAGCAGCCAAUAUCUGAUUAAGGAGUG